CCUUUCGUUGUGCAUGCAUAGAGAACUC
rnacentral:piRNA from 1 species